rnacentral:rRNA from 1 species
CCUUGCCAGCCCGCUCAGAAACUCAAAGGAAGUUGACGGGGCCCGGCACAAGCGGAGGAGCAUGUGGUUUAAUUCGAUGAUACGCGAGGAACCUUACCUGGGCUCGAACGUAAGAUGACUGUAGGUGAAAGCUUACAUCUCUUCGGAGCAUUUUACGAGGUGCUGCAUGGUUGUCGUCAGCUCGUGCCGUGAGGUGUCGGGUUAAGUCCCAUAACGAGCGCAACCCCUACCUUAGUUGCCAUCAGGUUAAGCUGGGGACUCUAAAGGAACUGCCUACGCAAGUAGUGAGGAAGGCGGGGAUGACGUCAAAUCAGCACGGCCCUUACGUCCAGGGCUACACACGUGCUACAAUGGCCGAUACAGAGGGCAGCUACCUGGUGACAGGAUGCAAAUCUCCAAAGUCGGUCUCAGUUCGGAUCGGAGUCUGCAACCCGACUCCGUGAAGUUGGAUUCGCUAGUAAUCGCGCAUCAGCCAUGGCGCGGUGAAUACGUUCCCGGGCCUU